rnacentral:rRNA from 1 species
GUGGGGAAUAUUGGACAAUGGGCGAAAGCCUGAUCCAGCCAUGCCGCGUGUGUGAAGAAGGUCUUCGGAUUGUAAAGCACUUUAAGUUGGGAGGAAGGGCAGUAAGUUAAUACCUUGCUGUUUUGACGUUACCGACAGAAUAAGCACCGGCUAACUUCGUGCCAGCAGCCGCGGUAAUACGAAGGGUGCAAGCGUUAAUCGGAAUUACUGGGCGUAAAGCGCGCGUAGGUGGUUUUGUAAGUUGGAGGUGAAAUCCCCGGGCUCAACCUGGGAACUGCCUCCAAAACUGCAUGACUAGAGUACGGUAGAGGGUAGUGGAAUGUCCGGUGUAGCGGUGAAAUGCGUAGAUAUAGGAAGGAACACCAGUGGCGAAGGCGACUACCUGGACUGAUACUGACACUGAGGUGCGAAAGCGUGGGGAGCAAACAGGAUUAGAAACCCCUGUAGUCC